rnacentral:lncRNA from 1 species
CCUCUGCUUGGUUUUGAGAUCAAGAAAAAAGAACUCCUAAUUCUAUUUCCCUUGCAGAGGAGAAGCACAGCACACAAACUUGCCAAAAAUUCUCUACUAAAUUCCUCCAAGACUUUUAUACACUCAGUAGGUGAGGUACUAAAGACUCCCCCAAAGCCAGUUUAGAGUGGUAUAAUCCUGUUUUCCAAAGGCCUUGUGUUGUUUGUACAAUUAAAAUUUUAAAAAUUACAAUCUUAUUUCUAUUAAUAAAAAAUGCAAAUUAAAACAACAUAAGAUAUCAUUGUUCAUUUAUGCUGCUAACUGGAACGAAAACAAAAAACUCAGUUCAAUAACAAGUACAUAUAAAGUUGGUAUAAAUAAAUCCAAACACAGCAGUAGUCACAAUAUAAUAAAUGGGUUAGUCUCUCAAGU